rnacentral:rRNA from 1 species
UACAGAGGGGGCAAGCGUUGCUCGGAAUCACUGGGCGUAAAGGGCGCGUAGGCGGGAUGGCAAGUCGGUCGUGAAAUCCUUCGGCCCAACCGAAGAACGUCGGCCGAUACUGCCGUUCUUGAGGGAUGCAGAGGAGACUGGAAUUCCCGGUGUAGCGGUGAAAUGUGUAGAGAUCGGGAGGAACACCGGUGGCGAAGGCGGGUCUCUGGGCAUUUCCUGACGCUGAGGCGCGAAAGCGUGGGGAGCAAACGGG